AAUUUGUACUGUGAAACUGCGAAUGGCUCAUUAAAUCAGUUAUCGUUUAUUUGAUAGUACCUUACUACAUGGAUACCUGUGGUAAUUCUAGAGCUAAUACAUGCUAAAAGCCUCGACUUCGGAAGGGGUGUAUUUAUUAGAUUAAAAACCAAUGCCCUUCGGGGCUCCUUGGUGAUUCAUAAUAACUUCUCGAACCGCAUGGCCUUGCGCCGGCGGUGGUUCAUUCAAAUUUCUGCCCUAUCAACUUUCGAUGGUAGGAUAGUGGCCUACCAUGGUGGCAACGGGUAACGGGGAAUUAGGGUUCGAUUCCGGAGAGGGAGCCUGAGAAACGGCUACCACAUCUAAGGAAGGCAGCAGGUGCGCAAAUUACCCAAUCCUGACACAGGGAGGUAGUGACAAUAAAUACUGAUACAGGGCUCUUUCGGGUCUUGUAAUCGGAAUGAGUACAAUCUGAACCCCUUAACGAGGAACAAUUGGAGGGCAAGUCUGGUGCCAGCAGCCGCGGUAAUUCCAGCUCCAAUAGCGUAUAUUAAAGUUGUUGCAGUUAAAAAGCUCGUAGUUGAACCUUGGGUCUGGCUGGCCGGUCCGCCUCACCGCGUGCACUGGUCCGGCCGGAUCUUUCCUUCUGGGGAGCCUCAUGGCCUUCACUGGCUGUGGGGGGAACCAGGACUUUUACUGUGAAAAAAUUAGAGUGUUCAAAGCAGGCCUUUGCUCGGAUACAUUAGCAUGGAAUAAUAGAAUAGGACGUGCGGUUCUAUUUUGUUGGUUUCUAGGACCGCCGUAAUGAUUAAUAGGGAUGGUCGGGGGCGUCAGUAUUCGGCUGUCAGAGGUGAAAUUCUUGGAUUUGCUGAAGACUAACUACUGCGAAAGCAUUCGCCAAGGAUGUUUUCAUUAAUCAGGGAACGAAAGUUAGGGGAUCGAAGACGAUCAGAUACCGUCGUAGUCUUAACCAUAAACUAUGCCGACUAGGGAUCGGACGGUGUUUCUAUGAUGACCCGUUCGGCACCUUACGAGAAAUCAAAGUUUUUGGGUUCUGGGGGGAGUAUGGUCGCAAGGCUGAAACUUAA
rnacentral:rRNA from 1 species